rnacentral:lncRNA from 1 species
GAAAAGCCAUGGGCAUUUGUCACAAUUCGACACAUGUCUUCCCCACGCAAAUGGCGAAGCUGAGAUCAGGCCAUGCUGUCUUACAUGGUGCCAUCAUCAGGCGCCUUUGAUUCCUCGUCUAGUGUAACAAUUCUCCACCACUACCAUGCUAGUGUGGGGCACUUUGUUUUACUUUCUUGUCACACCCUCGUAUGCCCCCGAACACAACAAACAAACAGAUCAAACCAGCAUAAAACAACUCGGCGUAGGGCUGCAGGAAGCCGUCUAGCCCGCAGCGCCAAAAGCCCACCCAG